CAGCCCCCCACGGCUCCACAGGCGCAGGGGAACUGGCUUCUUGCCAUCCCUCGGGGGCUUGGCAGACUGACAGGUUCACAAGAUGGGCAGGUCCCACAGCAGACUGGGAAAGUGAUAAGGGCAGGGCCUGGCCUGAAGGACAAUUUCUUUGACACCCCCAUUAGCCCUGUCUAGGGCUGAGAGGGCCGGACGAAGCAGCUUCUCUCCCGGCAGGGGAAAGGGGGAACCAAGGACUCUGCUUCUCCUUCGGUUGCUCACACGGACCUGCCAGGAGCCAUUCCGGAUUGGCUGCAGGAAACGUUCUAUACAUAGGUGAGACUCCGUGUUUCUUCCUCCCAGGAAGGGCGAGGGCGGCAGAUGUUUCUCUAGAGAGAAAUCAGUUCCCCUCACCCCCAUCCUGCAGUCAGAAUAGCAAUGCAAGGGGACUAACGUUUGUGGGGUUCCUUCUAUGCACCACGUUCCACUACAGCGUCAGCGUUCCGCGUUACGACGUCAUUGUCAUGGCAACAAUGCAGGAUGGGUGCUUUUCGCAGAGGAAGCCUGUGAGGUUUGGAGAGCUGAGCUCCGUAGCUAAGGCCAUACAACCAAUACGCAUCAGAACUGGAAUUUGAACCUGGCUCUCCAACAUUCUACAACUCGUGUUCUCUCGAAUACAGCCUUUGGCUCUGUUCAAAAUAGUCCUCUGGGCUCUGUGCCUAAAGCAAUAGAAGAUGUAGACCAAGGACAUCAGACUUGGGACAGAAAUAUUCCGGGACAUUUUUGUGGCUGAAUGCUCUGGACCUAGGGGGAGAAAGCCUUCAGACAAAUCUGGUAAGACAAGGGCCUGGGCAGACAUCUCCUCUGUUCGUUCCACCCAGCGGGAAGGGUGCUCCAGGCAGAAGGCAGAGCAUGUGCCCAGGCCUGGAGACGCGAGAGCGGAAGCGUGUUCGCUGCUGUUAGAGCAGAGCAAACAAAUGAGGAAUCGGUAGGAGGUGUGGCCAGGGGGCUGGGCUGGAUUCCUGGACCCUUACCGUCAUACUCUUUCUGGAGUAGACUCUGCCCUCAAUCAGGCCAUUCUCCUGGGUGCCCUGGAAAACGAUCCGGUGACCGCGCUCUCCAGAGCGCCUCUGAUGGUAAUGAGGCUCAGCCCGGAGACCAUCCGAGUGGGUGACAGACUCCCAAAUAUCAGAGGCUGGCAUACUUCCUCUACAAGCCAGUGGGUACAGGGUAUCGAAGAGAAGGGAAAAAAUAAUCGUAGCAGUGUCUGAAGAACUUAGACACGGUGUCUUGCUCUCUCGUAAUGUAUGUUUCAAGCAGCCUAAGGAGUAAAAAAAAGUCAGAUUCACAUGUCUCCUGCUGCUCGUGCAAAGAAAAGGAGCGGAAGUUCCAAGGCAGCCAUUUCACCCGUAAGAUGUGUGAUGUUGGGAGUCGUAAUAAAAAAUAAAUAUUUGGUCUCCGGGCCCUCUUCUGGCACAGGGCUCCUCAAACCUUAGGAAUUUCCGGGGAGGAAGCUGAUAUAGGUGUCAUUUGUUACGUUAACGAGGUGACCUUUGGAACCACCUAAGGACGGGGCUGGUUGUCAGGGGAACUAACCAUGCGAUGAGAAGGUUGGAGUUUUCAGCCCCUCCCUCAACUGCCUGUGAGAGGAGGAGGCUGGAGGUUGAAUCAAUGGCCAAUGCCUUAAUCCAUUGUGACCAUAAUGAAGCCUCGGUGAAAAUCCCAAAGGACCAGGUGUGGAGUGCUUCCUGAUUGGUGGACAGCUUUCAGAGAGCUUCCUGAUUGGCGGAGACAAUAUUCACAGUGCUUCCUGAUUGGUAGGCAGGGUUCGAGCGCUUCCUGAUUGGCUGGCAGGCGGAGAUUCGGGAAGAGUGGGCUCUCAGAGACAGUGGAAGCUCCACCCCAUGUUCCACACCUUGCCCCAUGCAUCUCUUCCACUGGCUGUUCCUGAAUUAUAUCCUUUUAUAACAAACUUGUAAUCUGCGUGGCCAAAUGUCAGUGCCAAGUCAUUCAACGCGCAUUACCAACUUCUUCCUGUGUGCCAGGAACUGGCCCUGCCCCGGAGGACAAGCAGUGAACCCUGUAGACACAGCCUCUCACUGAGCUUGCACGGGCAUCUUGCUUCGGGGGCGAUCUUGGCACUACAAGGGCUCAGCACACUUCACACGUGUGCCCUCUCUUCUCUGCCCAUCUCUCACCUCUCACCUGGACUCGUUAAAAUACCCAACUCCCGGUCCAGCCAGACUGAAAAUGAGCUCUUCGCGGCCAACAGCCCGAGCCUGGAUUUCCACCGAGGCGCAUGGCUCUCCGUACAGAUUGCAGAUUUACACGGUAAAAAUAGAAACGCACGGCAUCACAUGUAUAUGCAAAUUUGCCAACCAAAUUCAGUGCUGAAAAUAGUUAUUUACUAUUUGGCUUGCAUAUUGGCCCAGAAAACCCUCUAUACCUAUUUCAUGCUCAUUGAAAUUCUUUAAGAGUUCCUGACCCAUUUAAAUUCCUUGAGGGAUGCCUGGCUUCACAUGGACAUUUGUCUGCUCCUCU